CCUACGGGAGGCAGCAGUGGGGAAUAUUGGACAAUGGGGGCAACCCUGAUCCAGCCAUGCCGCGUGUGUGAAGAAGGCCCUCGGGUUGUAAAGCACUUUCAGUGGGGAAGAACGCCUGGUGGUUAAUACCCAUCAGGAAAGACAUUACUCACAGAAGAAGCACCGGCUAACUCCGUGCCAGCAGCCGCGGUAAUACGGAGGGUGCGAGCGUUAAUCGGAAUUACUGGGCGUAAAGCGCGCGUAGGUGGCUUGAUAAGCCGGUUGUGAAAGCCCCGGGCUCAACCUGGGAACGGCAUCCGGAACUGUCAAGCUAGAGUGCAGGAGAGGAAGGUAGAAUUCCCGGUGGAGCGGUGAAAUGCGUAGAGAUCGGGAGGAAUACCAGUGGCGAAGGCGGCCUUCUGGACAGACACUGACACUGAGGUGCGAAAGCGUGGGUAGCAAACAGGAUUAGAUACACCAGUAGUC
rnacentral:rRNA from 1 species